rnacentral:tRNA from 1 species
GCUUAAGUAGUUUAAUUAGAAUAAUAAUUUGUGGUGUUAUUGGUAUUAGUAUUUAAUCUUAAGUC